AUACGAGAGCUGUUAGGUUUGGUGGAGAGAAGGAUAGGACCAUUCGGCUAGCCACUUCAAGUCCAUCUUGAAUCUUCAUUUAUGGCCGAAUAAACUGGUUCAUCAUGUGCAUGAACGGUGGAAGCUAAAGGAGUUUAAUAUGACCAUUUGGUUGUCAUUUAUGCACGGUUUAUAUGUAUGCACGUCCAAGGGAGAAGAUAUAAUAUAAAUGUUGCACAUUGAAUGUUGUUAUUCAUGCAUUAACUUGGGGGAGGAACUUGAAGAUUAAUUGAUUCAUUCAUGCACGUACAACUUUAUUAAUGCAAGACUUAAUGAAGUA